GGGAACUCACCUGAUCACCACGAGGCCAUCACCUACGGUCAGCUGCUUGGACAGGUGUGCAGGUGUUCCAACACUCUGAAGCAGAUGGGAGUGAGGAAGGAGACAGGGUGGCCAUCUACCUCCCUAUGAUUCCAGAGCUGGUGUACACCAUGCUGGCCUGCAGCAGGAUAGGAGCUGUCCACUCCAUCGUGUUUGCAGGCUUCUCCGCUGAGUCUCUGUGUGAGAGGAUCAUGGAUUCCCAGUGUAGUAUCCUGGUGACUGCAGGUAAGAUAGAGCCCUGGGC